GAUUAGUUUAACAUGUGAAAUGUCCGUAAAGUAUCAUCAUAUGAUUGGUUUUAGGGCACAUUUCCAACAAUUACAAAAUAUAUAAAUUUUAAGAUCUGUAUGAGUGAAAUUAAAGUUCAUAGAAGAAACCCCCUUGAAGCAAUUUUGAUGUUGAACUUUUCUAAAAAUAGCGCGGCUGCGUGGUUUCUUCGGUGGCAGCAGAUGGUGAAUGGAAAUAAGGUUUUGUUUCUGGAAGAAAGGCUAAAGAAAGAGAAGAGAAAGAGAGCUAUGGGCAACCCCAAAGGGAAGCUUAUGUAAAAGUGGCUGAAACUCUCUGUUUUAUAAGGUUAAAGAGGCUGCUACAGAUUACCAAUACAUCCCAGUAAUUGGGCAUUUAAUUCCCCCAUUUUUUUGCUGUUAUUGGUUUUACAAAGAGCCAUAUUCACUUUUAAUUCUUUGUCUACAUCAACAUCCACUUUUAGCACCAUUUUGCCUUAUCUGUCCUCAAAUGGCUCUAAAAUACAAUUAAAUGCACAUUAACACAAGAGAGAGUAAAACGCAACCAGUUUAACUCAAAAAUAUCACAAAGAGACUAGGAAUGGAUGGUAUAAAUGUAUGAAAUAUGUGAGUUAUCAAAUACCCCCAAACCUGGUUUUUGCUGGUCCUCGAGCAAAACUAAAACUGAAAACAAACAAAACAAAGAAAAAUAUAACUAGACCAUUUUCGUUAGCUAAAUGAUUGCACGGAGCAUGUGCAACAAGCCUUUAAACCUCUAGGUGUCUCUAGUCGAAGGAGUUGUGUCUCCUGAGGGUUUACAGUGAUGUGAAAAUUGUUAAAGCACUAAAAAUGGUUAAAGCAUGCUUGAAACAAACUAAUAAGAACCAAUGAUGUGAAAAUUAACUUGACACACAAAUUAAACCCUAUUUUGACAAUUGUAGUAUAUAAAUAAGUAGGGAUCGUUCUUAAACCGAGGAUUAUGAGGGAUUGCUAAACACUCUAAACUGACUUAAAUAGAUAAAACUAAGCUUUAAAACACUUAACUAGACCUAAAAGACUCAAAACAAGUUCACAAGACUCAAAAUAAGCUAAAAACACUCAAAACUGCCUAAAAACGCAAUCUGGGCAGUUUCUGACUCUAAACACAACUUUGGACGAAUUUUGGGUUUUCCUUGACUCAAAACACUUAAAAACACAAUCUAAAACAGAUUUUAACUAGUUAGACACUCUAAAGUAAAGGGGGAUUUGGUUUUGGACAAAAAUAAAGUAAAACAAAGCAAGAACUAAACUAGGCAGAUUUGCACGAAUUUGGUGAAAUUAGAUGGAUGAUGGGCUAGCUAGAGGGUCUUUCUCCACACAUGACACACUUGCAUAAAAAACAAUCUCCAGUUGCUUUUUCAAUGAACCAUGAACCUCAACACCCCAAGUUAAUUAGGUACGCUCAAAUUAACCCUCAGAUUUUCCUUAAAUCGUUGAAUUGAAUGGAAAUAGCGCAUCGCAAUCAAAUUAUUCCUUAAAAGUUCCCUACAUGAAAGCGCAUAAUAGAGACACAAUCAAAGAUCAUUAAGUGCUAUGAAAAUCAUAAGUGUUAACAAGGCAUUCGUAACUAUGAAAGCGCAUGAUUCUUAUGCCAAGAAUUUACUUAACAUGAUUGUGACUAACAACCUUUACUACUUAUGAAUAUAAGUUCAUAACGAUUAGGUGAAACUCCCUUACAUUCUAGCAUCAAAUUCAUGCAUGCAAACUAAGUUGACCACCUUAAUAACCAUACAAGAAUAAGUUUUGAAUAAAACAGUUAAGCGAAUUGCAUUCACAAUUUAUCAAAUCGCAAUUGAAAGUAAUCAAUUCAUAUUGCAAGUAUAAUCAUGGUUUCGAAUUCCCCUCUAACUAUAAAGAAAUUAGUUCCUCAUGUUCGCAAUUAAACAAAGAUAACUUGAAUUAAACAUUGAAAACAAAGAUACAAUACACCUAGAAACACUCCAGAUGGCUCCUUCUUCUCCUUCCUUAGCUGCGGCGCAAGAGGAUUAUGGUGGAUGGUGUGGUGGAUGUAUGUAGGUGAUUUUUGGUAGAAGGUGGUGGUUUAAUUGCUGCACAAAGGUUUGUAUUUAUAAGGCUAGGGAAACCCACGAAUUUCUGAAGGAAAGGAAUGUGUAUUUGGCACAAUUCAUGAAGGAAAAGGACUAGGGUUCACCAAAAUCUGAAGGGAAAAGGAUUGCACAAUCCUAAGGGAAAAAGGAUUGCAGGUUCUAGGGCUUCUAGAAAGGGUCUAGGCGCCAGAUUUUUAGGUGCUUCUAGAAAAGAUGUUUUAGCACCAAUUUAGGGGUUCUAGAAGGAUAAAGGUUCUAGAAUCUGAAAUAUAUAGUUUAAAUGCAUAAUUAUCCCUUAGAAAUAGCUGGAAUUAAGGCACAAAUUGAUUUGGAUAAGAUAGGAUAAGAUAAGGUUAGGUUAGGCAAGGAUAAGAUAAGAUAAGGUUGGAUAAGGUUUUGGAUAAUGUUCCUUCUUUUGAGCUGAUUUCUAUCUUCCUUGACUUGGAUUUAUUUCUUCACCCUUUUCAGCACAUUCCUAGCCUCUUGAACUUCAAAUUCGUCCAUCCAUCUUGCUCCAUUCAUAAGCUAUCCAUUUGGUGCCCAAAACUGCCUCAAAAUGCUCCAAAAUUGCACUUUCUUGCCAACUUUGUCAUAUGGACCUACAAACACACGAAAAUAUCUUAAAACACUAUAAUAAACAUAAACAAACUAUGAAAAUGCAAGAAAACAAGCUAACUAAGUCACAUAAAUAUGCUCCUAUCAACCAAUGAAAGCAUAGUCAUACAUUCAAACCAAAAGUCUGCCACUUCAAAGAAUCGCAUCAUACGUAGAGUGUAAAAAAUAUUACUCCAUGACUCAUGACUUCAAAAAUACCAUACUCAAAUGCCAAAGAUAGAAUUCGCCUCAACUCUAGUCCUCAUAGAUAUCACUCAAAUUUUCACUCAGUUCCUAAGGUGUAGUCUCUCCACGAACACAUGUGAGUGAAAUUGUGUAAAAGGGGUGAGAUGUAAAAAGGAUUCAAAAAUUCUCACACAUGAAAUAUGAAAUAAAAGCACAUUUUCUGAACAGAUCUCAUGAAAUGAAUCAAAUACUAAGAAUAUGGAUAGCACACAUACUUACUAGCACCCAUGAAUAUAUCCCCAAAGAUCAGCCAGGUCUUUCACAAGGUUGUAAUGUAAGGCUUAGGACAUACUAGAGCUUGGGACAUACAAAAAUAUCUUUGUUAUGAAAUAAGCAAGCUCUCCUCUUGAAUUGAUCUUCUUUGUUUAUUCUUGGCAACCAGGACACACGUGCAAUUGUGAAGGAUUUGGAAAUUGCAUCUUCUUUAUUCAUUUUUUUCUUUUUUUUUUCUUUUUUUUUCAUGUUUUGCAAUUCCAACACAUGUUACCUCGAUACACGCCACAUUAUUGAUCUACAGCUCAAUCUAUCUGUUUUCAUCACUUUGGUAUUCCCCAAACUAUAAGGUAUGUUGUAAUGGGUUAAGAUGGGUAAAGUUUGGUGUAGGUGAUAAAAGAAUUAAGUUAAAAGUGUUUGGUUGCAAAAAAUAUGAAUGGAACACACAAAGGGUUGGGAAUAAAGCCAUUUGGUGGUUAAAACAUGCAUAGCCUAACAUCGUCUCAAUGGGUUCAUUCAUAGGUGAUAAUAAACACAUGGUAUCUACAAUAUAGGAUUAUUCUUAGCAUUCAAUCAAAGAGAAAUAAUGAGAUCAUUUAAAGUGAAAUUGAAAGAAAACGAUAGGAGAAGAAACACUUUAACCCCUCUCAAAAAAGCAAAUAUGCUCAAAAUAACUCAUUAGGGUAGUCUCCACUAUUCUUCGUCCAAAAUUUGAGCAUGGUACUUUAACCAUUAUAAUUCCAAGAGUAACAACUUUGUAAAAGAAAAUAAGAUGCCAAACUUUUUCAUGACAACACUGUAGUUUUGUUUGUAAACAUAGCCCUCAUAAACAUUUACAUUAGUAAGCAAAAGCAAGCUUAACCAACACUAAAAUCAAACGAAAAUUUUCAAUCUCACACCCCCAAACCUAAACAAAACAUUGUCCUUGAUGCGUAGAAAAAAAAAUGAAUGGAAUGCAACAAUGCAGGAAGGCAAAGUAAGCAUGGAAUGAAAUAAAACAAAAACUAAAAGACACAAAAUAAAAGGAAAGAACACAAACCCAGCUAGGUUGCCUCCUAGCAAGCGCUUUUUUAACAUCUAGGCAAGACAUGGUACCAUGAUAGAUAAACACCUAGGGUGGAAAGAAGCCAAGGUAGCUCUGAACCUUGGUUGGAAGAACUAGUUUCUUUAGAGGGACUUUAAAUAUAGUGCGUUGAAUUUCCACAAGGACUUGAUUGUGAUGGUGUUUUCGUCUCUCCUUGCGAAGAAGCAUAUCCUCGAAAAUUGUUGAAGAUGUGGCUGGAGCAAUGAUUUCAAUGGAUGAAUGAAAUUCGCUCAAGGGAACAAUCUCAUCGUCUAGCCUUGAAUCUUCUUUCUUAUGGUGAAUGGGCAGCAAUGAUUCGUCAUCCAACUUCAAUUUGUUUUUCUCUUGAUAUGGCAGCAAAUCAUCUCCAAAAGACUCCAAAGAUGGCACCUGUAAAGAUGUAAAACAACAGAGAGAAUCCAACAUAACUUUCAAAAAAAAUUCAAGCAAAUUAGAAGAUUGGGAAAGAGUUUCAAAUUCAAGAACUUCUCUAUGUAUAUCGGCACAGCUAGAUUCCAAUGAUUAUUGACCGUUCACAUCUUGACCAUCACCACAUGGUUGUUCAUUUAACGCUUGGACAAUCUGCCCCAAUUGAAUUUCCAACUUGGUAAGUGCAAUGGAGUGUUCUUGGAUCAUGCUACUCGUUGAUUGUUGAAAUUGCAAAUUAUUUUGAGCGAAUAGCUUCAAAGUGUCAUCUAAUGAAGUGUCAAAGGAUUCUUGCUGUGGUGGAGGUGUAAAUGCUUGAUUUGGAGCUUGUAUGUUGUUUCUCCAAGCGGGGUUGUAUGUAUUUAGCAAUGGUUGCAGUGGCCCUUGGUUAGAGAAACACAUGCGGUGUGAGUGCUCUUGAACAAAUGUAGGAAACUCAUAUCUUCUUGGGCACAACUCAAAGGAUAACCAGUCUUGGCACAUAAUAGACAUACACCAUACAUCUUUUUAGACAACCUGAAAUCAAAACAAACUAAAUUGUAAAUGAAAAAUCUAAACUAAGAAAACAAAAAUAGAUAGGGUUUAUAAAGCAAGCAAUUAGAGGGGAUUGAAAUUAGUCCUCGGCAACGGCGCCAAAUUUUUUAGCAGCAAUGUGCAUGGCUGCCUGAUUAUCACACAUAAGGGACAUAGGAGUAGAGCUAGGAAACCCUAAGUCUGAAAGAAGCCAUUUAAGCCAAAUGAGUUCACCAGCUGCGGCUGUCAUGGCUCGAUAUUCAGCCUUAGCACUGGAUCAUGCAAUCACAUGUUGCUUCUUGCUCUUCCAUGUGAUAAGAUUUCCACCAACAAAUGUACAAUAACCUGUGGUAGAUUUCCUAUCAAUUGCAUUACCCACCCAAUCUACAUCCGUGUAGCCACUAAUGGCAGUGGACUUAUUGUUAUGCAUGAUAAUUCCUCGCCCUAUUGAAACCUUAAGAUAACGCAAGAUUCUCUUAACAAAGUUAAGGUGAUCAACAGUGGGAGAGUGCAUAAGCCAGGCUCACUGCAUAUGUGAUAUAUGGGCGCGUGAUAGUGAGGUAUAUAAGCUUGCCCAUCAACCUUUGAUAGUAGCUCACAUUAUGCAUGGCUUCUCCAUCUAUUUUGAGACUCAAUUUGCAAUCAACGAGAGUCAUAACAAGUUUAUAGUCAAGCAUUUUUGCUUAUUGAAGAAGGUCUAAUACAUAUUUUUGUUGAUGUAGAAACAACCUUUUUGAGGAUGUUGCCAUUUUGAUGCCCAAAAAAUACUUUAAUUUCCCCAAAUCUUUGAUAGCAAAUGUUUGAUGUAGUAAGAGCUUCAGUGCCUCAGUCUCAGCGGCACUAUCUCUUGUGAUGAGAAGAUCAUCCACGUAAAUAAAAACCACCAACUUCCCACUAGUGUUAGUUCUUACAAAUAAUGAAGAAUCAACAUUACUUUGUAGAAAUCCAACCUUCUCUAGUACUGAACUGAGCUUGGCAUACCAAUCUCUUGGUGAUUGUUUCAAGCCAUAUAUUGCCUUGUGCAAUUUAAAAACCACAUUGCCUUUAAUACCAUUAUAGGUUGAAGGAGGUUGCAUAUACUCUUCUUCCUGUAACUCUUCAUGAAGGAAAGCAUUCUUCACAUCCAUUUGGUAAAGAGACCACCUACAGUUGACUGCAAUUGAGAGUAACACUCUUACUGAAUUCAUCUUGGCCACCAAUGCAAAUGUUUCCUUAUAAUCUACUCCAAAGGUUUGGGUGAAACUUCGAGCAACAAGUCUAGCCUUGUGUAUCUCAAUAAAACCAUCAGCUUUGAAUUUGGUAUUGUAAAUCCAAUGACUUCCAACAGCCUUUUUUCCUGGUAGUAGUUGAACUAAGCUCCAAGUGUUGUUCUCUUCUAGCGCAUGAAGCUCUUCUGCCAUGGCUUGGUUCCAUUGUGGAAGGAGAGAUGUUUCUUGAAAACUUAUAGGUUCACAAUGCUUAUCAAUUUCAAUGAGGAAUGCAGCAUGAGAUGUUGAGAACUCACAAAGACUAAUACUGUCAGUGAUAGGGUGUCGUGAUGCAUACGUAACAUAGCCCUGCAACCUAGCUGGAGGUUUUCUGGCUCGAGGAGGAUUUCUCUUAAUCAUUGGAAGCUUUGUAGAUGACUGAGAAUGAUUAGAGUUGGACUCUUCAUCUCUCUCACUGGCAAAGAUUAAGUCAGUUUGUACUUCUUCAUAAUUUGGAGUCAUAGUGACUGAGCUCUUUUCCAACACUAGAUGGUGAAAGUUUUGAGGGAAUGGGAACAAGUCAAAUAGUUCAUCCCCCUGACUUGUAGUACUUCCUUUAUGGAGGAAAUAAGAAUGGUCUUUCUUCAAACUUCAUAUCUCUUGAAACAAUGCACUUCUUAGUGACUGGAUUGAAGCACUUGUAUCCCUUUUUAGGUGGAAGAGUAACCCAUAAACACACACUUGGUUGCUUUGACAUCUAGUUUGUCACAGUUCAAGGUUUACAUGUGAACAAAGCAGACGCAAUCAAUUUUUCCUACCUUUAAGCACUUCAUAGGGAGAUCUAAACCCUAACACAUAACUUGGAAGUCGAUUGAUUAGGUAAGUGGCAAUGAGGACAACAAAUGACCAAAUUUUUUUAGGGACAUGCAUAUAUAGAUCAUGAGAGCACAAGUCUUCUCCAAGAGAUCUCUAUUUUUCCUUUUGGCUACUCCAUUUUGUUGGGAGGUCCCUACACAGCUGGUUUGAUGUAUAAUACCCUAAGAACUUAUAUAUUGAAGCAUAUUGUUAGAUGGAAAUUCAGUGUCAUUAUCUAAUCUUGGGACCUUAAUGUUUGAUUGAAAUUGUGUUUUAACAUGCAUAUGGAAAUCUUUGAAAAUGGUUGGGACUUCACUUUUUGAUUUCAUAAGAUAAACAAAACUCAUUCAAGAGAAGUCAUCAACAAAUAGAACAAAGUACUUAAAUCCUUCCAUUGAUUCAGUUGUUGGUCCCCAAACAUCGAUGUGCACCAUUUCAGAAAGUUUAUUUGCCUUAGACAUUGAAGUACCAAAAGGUAGUCUAGCAAAUUUAGAAAAUUGACAAGUAUCACAUUAAGAUGAGAUUUACAAAAUGACUUCAAAGGGAUGAGCUAAUCUCUAAUGCCAAAGUUGGCUUUCACCUAUGGACUUCCCAACUAACAAAAGUUGGAAAGGAAAGGUUGGUACAUAUAAGGCGGUGGAAGGUGUUUCGUGCGAGAGUAAAUUUAUUUCUCCUUUUCCCAAAACUAAGACGUUAUUUCCAUUUGCAACAGACAUAUGUGAAGGACUUGAAAAACAUUUAAAAUGAUGCAAGUUUAUGACUUUGUUUGUCAUGUGAUCAGUGGCACCUGAAUCAAUUAUCCAAUAAUCAUUUUCAACACUAGUUAAUAGGGCAGUAAUGAAGGCUUUGAGUAUACCCGGUGCUUCCCCCUGUGGAACUUUCUUAUUUCCAGCAAGAAAGCCAGCAAACUGUCCUAACAUAGCUGUGUGACUGCCCUCUUCAUUGCCUUGACUAUGUGAGUCUCCUAUGUGUCCCUUACUUUGCAUGUAGGCUGCAAAUUCAUUGAUAAGUGACAAUGGAUUUGUAGUGAACUCCGUGGUUCCUUGUGGAAUAGUAAGAGGAUAAACAUUAGCAAGUUGUGCCUUGAAGUGAGGUUGAGAUUGCUGUGAAGACCUUGGUAUCAUUUUUCCAUCUUUGCUGAACUUAGCCUUAAGUUCAUGAUGGAGUUCCCAACACUUAUCUUCCACAUGGCUAACACCAUCGCAAUAUUUUCAUUUUAGGUGUGUGUUUCUACCCUUGUACCCUUUGGUCUCUGAGUUCUUGUAAUUUGAAACAUAUGCACAAGUCUCAGUUAAUCUCGAGUUGUGUUCAGCAUUCAUCAACUUCUUCCUCGCUUCUUCUCGUUGGAUGAUGGCACAAACAUUGUUGAGGGUAAGCAGUUCUUGACUUAUCAAGAUGUGACUCCUUAGAUCAUCGUACUCAGAGUUCAAACUCCCUAACAGCUGGUAAAUUUUGUCUUCCUUGGCUCGUUUGAAGAGAAUGGUAGGGUCUGCAGUAUGUGGAAGAUAUACAUCCAACUCGUUCCACAUGAUUUUGAGGCUCUCAAGAUGAUGAACAAAGGCUUUCCCUUCUUGUUAAGCACUGACAAUUUCCUUCUUCAGUUGGAAAACACGUGCAUAGUUGUUUUGAUUUUCAUACAUAUCCUGCAAGGCUUUCUAGAAAUCACAUGAGGAAUUAGAGUAGCUAAAAAUCUCAGCAACAUGUUUCUCCAUAAUGUUGAGCAGCAAGGACAUGACAAGUUGGUCCUUGCAGAGCCAUGCAUCGUAUGUGGGGGAGGAGAUGUUUGGAGCUUCUACGCUUCCAUUUACAAACCCUAACUUCCCUUUGACUCUGAGAGCUAGUGAAACAGCUCUAGACCAAGGAAGUUAAUUGAACUCCUUCAAUAGAACUGAACAUAGACACUGAUUGGUGUUAACCUCAACAUCUGAAAAUUUUGAAGAGAUACUAUGUUGAGUUUCCUCCUCGCGGUUCAUUGAACUAUCUUCAGCCAUGGUUUAGACCAUAAAGAAGAAUUCGCAGCAGCAAGAAUGGGCAAAGAUAGGUUACAAAAGAUCCUGCUCUAGUACUAUGUAGAUUUUCUGGUUUUAACUUUUAAUGUAUUUCAUGUGUUCAAUGUACAAGAGCCGAGUAUAUAUUGAAGAUGAGAGAAGAAAGAGAGAUGGGAGAUAUGGCUGUUGAAAACAGCCGACAAGAUCUAAUAUAAUCCUUAAAUCAAGGAGAACUAACAUACUCCUUAAAUCAAGGAUUUACACUAAUCAGUCACCUUCCUUAAGUCAGGGGACAAGAGUUGUUUAUGCUAUUGCCUUGAGCUGACCCUAAAAACCUUUGGUAGCUAACUCUAGAGGUUAAGACUCUAAUGGGAAACGCUUUACACUUCAAGAAAAUCACUUGACCUUAUAAAUCCAAGCCAAAUGAUCUUUUUGCAUAAAGGAAUAAAUUGAUCCUAUGCUGCCACCGAUGACGAGGAGUAGGACCUCCUCUAUCAUACAAAUCACGGCAAAAAGUGCGAUGAAGGUCACUGUCAUGUGGGUCGGUAUGAUCGAUCAAGAUCACUGGAGGUGCAGGGUCGAUCUCAGAAGAAGAACCACUACUGCCAGUGCAAGCCAUUUCACGACCAAAUUGCUUAAGAAGAUGGCCACUUUGGUUUCUAGAGAAUCAGACAGAGUAGCAGUAUCCAAGGCAGAGGUCUGAGCGUCCAUAACAGAGAAUCGGAUGUUUGAAUUAUGGAGGGGCAUACAAGAAAGGGAAACCAAGACUAGAAAGAAGAUACCAACUGAUAUGAUCCAAAUUCCAAUGCCUUAUUCAACCUUAUCCUGUGCAAUAAUGGAGGAAGAUAUGGAAGAACGACAAAGGAGAAGCGAGAGCUUCCAAUAUUUUUUAGUAUAUUAUCUGAAUUAACUGUUACAAAGGAGAAAGAGCUAUUGCUCCCUUUAAAGCCACAGGCCCAAAGGCUCUGCCGGCUAGAUAAGUCUAACAAACUAAUUAAUUAAAGGACAAAAUAAAGGAUUACAUCUAAAAAUUCAUAUUAGUGAUUAAGAUAAUCACUUAUCCUAUCACUCUUCGACUCCCAUCCCAAUCGAUUAGUUGAAUUAAAUAUGGUAAAUUACUAAAAAUAUAUAUGAUAAUAUUUGGAAAUUUCUAGUAUAUUUAUUAAUUUUUAAAGUGGAGUAUAUAUAGGAGUUAUAAUUGGGAUUAGAUAUGUACCUCGUCAAUAUGGGACAACAGACUACUAUUUACACUUUAAUUAAUAUAUAAAUAUAUAAUACGCAACACUCCCCUUGGAGUUAGAGCAAAGAUGUCACGUAUGCCAAAUUUGUCAAGUGAGUUGGAAAACACACUAUUAGACACAGCCCUAGUAAGCACAUCAACAAGUUGAUCUUGAGAUCGCACAAGCCGAAAAUUAAUAAUUCCAGCAUCCAAUUUUUCCUUGAUGAAAUUUCAAUCAAUCUCCACAUAUUGUGUUCGAUAAUUUGCACUGGAUUAUGAGCAAUCUCAAUAGCAGCCUUGUUAUCACAAUAAAGUUUCAUAACACCCUUGGGUUUAAAAUCCAAGAUCUCACAACAAUUUUUUCAACCACAACAACUCACAUACACCAUGAGACACCUUGAAACUCAGCUUCAGUACUUGACCUAGCCACCACUUUUUGUUUCUUGCUUCUCCAAGUAACUAGAUUACCACCCACACAAGCAAAGUAUCUAGAUGUAGAUCGUCGGUCAGUGAUAGAACCUACCUAAUCUGCAUCUGUAUACCAUUAUACAUUCAACUGACCAUUCUUGGAGAAAACCAAGACUCUACUAGGAGCCAUCUUAAAGUACCUCAAAAUACUGAUUACUGGAUCCAUAUAAGCUUCACUAGGUGAGUUCAUAAACUGACUUACCACACUAACUGCAUAAGCAAUAUCAGGAUGAGUGUGAGACAAAUAAACUAAUCUCCCCACAAACCUCUGAUAUCAUUCAUUAUGAGCAGGAACUUGAUCCGGAAAUAAGCCCAGACGAUGACUCUGCUCAAUCAGAGUAUCAACAGGUUUGCAAUCUAACAUAUCUGUUUCAUCUAAUAAAUCAAGAACAUACUUCCAUUGUGAUAGAAUAAUACCAAGUUUGGAUUGUGCAACCUUGAUUCCACAAAAAUACUUCAAUUCACCAUAUUCUUUCAUCUCAAAUUCAGUAGUUAGGUACUUUUGAAAGCGUUGUACCUCCUCCUGAUCAUCACCAAUCACUAUCAUGUCAUCAACAUAAAUAAGCAAUGCAUAUAGCUUACCAUUUUGUUGCUUUAGAAACAAAGUAUGAUCUGAAUGACUCUGAAAAUACCCAAACUUCUUCAUUAAACUUGUAAACCUCCCAAACCACUAUCUAGGAGAUUGUUUCAAACUAUACAAUCAGUUGAUAUACCAAUACCAAGCAAGAGAACCAUAUAAACUUCCUCCUUAAAAUCACCAUGAAGGAAAGCAUUCUUAAAAUCACCUUGUACCGGUCAUUAGAUCCAUAUGUUUUAUGCUUAAUAGUGAACACCCAUCUCAUUUGUAACUGAUACACUAGAUAGGUGACAUAUGUAAGAUGCAUAUGGUUUGGACAAACGAUAAAUAGACACAUGAUUGUUGAUAGGAUACUUGGCUUUGGCAUGCAUAUCAGGCUCAUUGUACUUUAGGUUUUCCACAAUUAACUCAUGGAGGCAAUUGAUAAGUAGAAGAAUCAUCAUAAUUUAUCUCAUGUGUGUCACCAUCUUGUACCAAACCAUUAGAAGAAUCAUCACUGGACAAACCAUCAACAAGUAAUCGUUAGUCAUACCAGCAACAGACAACUGGUCAUCAAAAGGCAAUUCGUCAGACAUACCAAUACAGGUAAUUUGUUGGGCAUAUCUGAAAAGUCAUUAGUAGAAAUAGUCUUAGGAAUGGCAGUUGACCGAUUAACAUCUGUAGUUGAUUGGUUAGUAUCACGCAGCAUAAUUGGUUCUGUCCCCAACUCUAUCUGUAACACAUCAUCCAUACCAUCUCUUCGAAUCUACACUUCACUCCUCCUCUCCCCUUAAAGUAAGGAGUUAGAAGAAAGCUUCACAAAAUACAAAACUUCCUCUUGGAAGGACAUCCAUAGUAAUAUAAGUUUUCUGAGUCAAAUGAUGAUAACACUUACAACCUUUUUUAUUGUUAACAUAUCCAAUAAAUACACACCAAAUAGCACAUGCAUCAAGUUUACUUUGCUGAUGAGAGUAGACAUGCACAUGGGCCACACACCCAAACACCUUCGGAGGAAGUUGGAUACAGAAACAAGAGAAACAUGUUUUUAUAGCACAUCAAAUGGUGUCUGAAAAUCAAGAACCCUACAUUCACACUUGAUGUUUUUAUCUUUAUUAAGCUGUGUUUUAAAAUUUGAUGCUUUUUGGAUAACUUUUCACAAUUGUAAUUUAAUUCUUCUCUCAGAAGUUUAUUUUUUAUUUCCAACAUUUUUUGUUCAUCAAGCAUUGGUAAAUGAUGUUUUUCCAAUGAGGAAGAUGCAUUGUUAAAAAGCAACUGUAACUCAAAUAAAACAUAAUUUUUUAAUUCAUCCUCUCGUAUAAUCAUAUCAGGUAUCGCAAAAGUUUUUCUUAGUUUGAAUAAAAUAUCAUCAUACAUAUUUUUCCAGUGAGUAUUAAAAAGAACUUGAGGAUUUGCUACAUCACAAAACAAAAUUAUUGUAACAAACAAUUGCCUUAAUUGAAAAGAUGAUGCAACAUGGGUAGCAUUUGAUAAAGCAUCUAAACAUUCUUUAUCAUCACCUAAUCCUAGUAAUUUACACGCAGCCUAAUACGAAGAGUGCACCACACCAUUAAUAGUUUUGAUAUCAUCAAAAUUUAAAAACCUUUUUUCAAGUUUAAAAUAAUUAUUAAAUAAUAUAACUCACCAGAUGCAGAGUGCACAUAUGCUAUUCUGGCAAUUGAUCUUUUGCGUUUUCUUGGUUUCCAACAUUUAUUCCGCGCAUCAUAUAAGAAUUUGGAUGGCAUCUGUGCAUAAGUCAGUAAACGCACUUCAUCAUAAAUUUUAUUUGUCUCAAACCAACUUGUCAACAUUGUGUGUUCAAAAGCUCUUUGAUUGAUAAUUAAUAUGAGUGAAUGAUCACCAUCAAAAACAAUAUUUUGUUCUAAUGGUAAAUGCACUCGUAAUCAUUCAACAGAACGUUCUUUAUGGUGUAUCGAAUGUUGAAACAAUCGCCAAACAACCUCAUAAGGUGAUAUGUAUCUACAAUUGAGAUAUGUUAAUAUUUCAUCAUUUAAAUCUUGCUGAAGAACUUAUUGUGCUCUAUCUGAACCUUUAUUAACAUAUUUGAACAAAUAUUUGAUAAGCAUAGAUUGACAACAGGAUUCAACAUUUAUAUGUGCAUUACAUCUUAAAAGUAGCUCUGCAUUAUAAGGAACAACAAAACUGUUAUAAAUUUUUAUUCCAUUUUUUAUGAAAAAAAAAUUUUCAUUGUCGCGCCGUUUAUAAAUUGGAAACCCAUUUGAUUAAAGAAAAGUCUCAUUUCUAUAAGGUCUUGGAAAAUUUUAAUAACACUUAUUUUCUCGCAUGCAAGGAGAUUUUAAAUUAAUUUGAUCACAUGGACCAUGAAUCAUAAAUUAAUUAACAAUAUCAUAAAGCUUUGGAUUAAAAGUUUUAUCUGGUAUUUCAGCUGAAAUAAUAGAAUCAAUAUCAGAUGGAGUGACACACCCCGUCCCGAAGGAGGGCAUGCUGGCCGUCACGUGAGAGUGACGUAACCAUUUGCACAGUACGGAAGCUUUAAAGAUACAAUUUAUAAUUUGAUACACCCGAAGGUGAGUCCUAAUUUUGUCCAAUCUGUCAGAACACCGUCGAAUUCCUCGUAGUCACCACACCUUUGUGAUUCCUGAACCUGGAGGGGCGCAAAACCAAAAUUGAGUGGGUCAGUAAAACAAUUCUUUUCCAAAUCCAAACAUUCCUCAAAACGUUGUAACCCCUCUCCGUAAAACCUGUAUACUUUCCCAGAAAUGUAAAAUAUAAAUAUACAUAUAUAUUCUCAAACUUCAUUUUUUACUAUCUCAACAUUUUUCUUUAUCAAUCAUGCCAUGCCAUGUCUAAUUCAACAGUUAAGUAUGGAUGCAUCAACAAUAAUCAUAUCAGGUGCAAGAAAGUAAUCAACCGGAGGCCCUCUAAUAGCCCUGCACGGUUGAACCUAGAGCUCAAAAUCUAUCACUCUCACACUCUGCCGGAGUCACUCCGCGUGUGACCUGUCCGGCCUUCUGCACAUAAGUUACGCUCUAGUGCUUCUCAUAAAUCAUCUGUGCACAUAAUCUAAGGUCACCCACCAGUCGGAAUCUCACUAACACUCUCGCGACUGGCCUGUACCCACUGCGACUGGUGACCUACCCACUCCUACGUGGACGUGCACAAUACGUACUAGUACUCUAACUAUGGAUUGCCAAGCCGCACGAUUCAUUCAUAUGCGGUGAAUACUAAAAGCACUAAACUAUGGUGCAGGAUUUGAGCACAAUAUACAUCAGCAUCAUAUAAUUAAAUACUCACCUGAUACUCACAUGUGCGUCCGCCGCACCAUUCAUUCAUAUGCAUCAUAUAACAAUUCUUACCCGUGCGUCCACCGCACCAAUUCAUGCAUAUGCAUCAUAAAUCAAUUCUUACCUGUGCGUCCACCGCACUAAUUCAUACAUAUGCAUCAUAUAUUAAUUCAUGCAUGGCAUUUCAACUCACAUUUCUAUAUACUUUUCAUAUCAAUUCUAUGCAUGGUAUUUCACUUCCUGUUUUUCCACAUAACUCAUAUGCAUUUCAUUUUGAACAUAUUUUCAUUUCAAUUCAAUUUCUGGGAAACGUCAAGUAUAUAUAUACACGGAAAACAAAACUGCCCACUCACAGAAUACAUCGACGUCUCGUAAGUCCCUGAGCAUCCCUUGGCCAUGCCCGAUGCCCGCAUAAACCUCACCUAUACAAGAGUAACCAAUUUGACGUUAUUUAACGCCUAACCCAAAUCUUAGUUAAUAACUCCUCAUAUAUUGCUCAAAUUGGGUAUAUGAAUAUACCACCACCGUGACCUACACAACCUCAGGAUCAUCCCCAUAUUUUUUAAAAUAAUUUUUGGAGUCCUCACGCGCCCCCACGCGCCUGACGUGGCACGGACCUACGCGCCCCCCGCGCCCCACGCGCGCCACGUGUCGUGUACACUGACGGCACAGUAAACGGCAGUUAGGGAAUAUUCCGUUAAAUCCUAGCAUAUUCCGUUAAUAAUUAACGGCGUCAGUCAACGCCGUUAGCAUAUUCCGUCAAAACUGACGGAAUAUUCCCUGUCUUCUCCGGCGAUUCGCCGGUCGCCGGCGACUGUUCGCCGGUUUCUGGAAAAAUUUCAAACUUGCUAUUCUCCUUCGUUUUUCAUCCAUUUUUCACGUAGAUUAUACCAAAUUGAAGCCCUAAACAUCUACUAUCACGUUGGACUAGUUUUAGGGUCUAAAAACAACGGGAUUAAACUUUCAAAAAUUCAAGAAAUCGGCCUACCUUCGAACUAGGUGAUCUCGACGUCCAAUUCAUGCCAACGAAGCACUCCGAGCUUCCUUGGGACUUCCUUAAGCUCACUGUGAGCUUGGUUUCACCUAAAACAAAGUCAAUUCGAAGAUCAUGAACAAUGUUCUUCACGGGAACUUUGAAACUAGGGUUUUCCGAAGCAAAACUUACCUGAAAUGGAUACCAUCGUGAUCGUGGAGGUUCCAGGAGUUUGAUGGUGGUUUUAACUCCGUCGUUGGUAGAAGUUUAAGGUGGUUUUGUGGUGGUCCGUGUGAGUUCGAAGGAGAGGGAGAGAGAACUGAGAGUUUCGUGAGGGAGGAGAGAGAGAGACAGUAUGCAGAAAAUAGGGAGAGGAUUGAGGGAUGUGGGGAUCCCUCGUGGUCCUUUUCCAAUCCCCAACUCCAAACCACAAAAUUUUAACCUAAAAAUCUAAGUUCCAUCCUUAAUAAAUUCCAUUUUAUUUUCAAAACUUAGGAACCUAGAUAAUUAACAACUUGAGCUUCUCAUACUUAGUAUUUCUUAAGGGCAAUUUCGUCCAUUCACAGCCACGAAUGUAAUAUUUUGGAACGGGCUGUGACAAUCUCCCCUCCUUAUAGAAUUUCGUCCCCGAAAUUCCAGCAACCAACUAAAUCAACCAUACUCCAACAAUCGCUUCGGGUAAAUCUCUCUCAUCCGAUUCUCUUUCUCCAACAUAAUUUUCUACUGAAUGAUUUCCUUCACAAAGCUUUUACCACUUACUCUGUCUUACUUUUCAGGACCUUCUUUUUCCAAUCCAAAGUCGUCCUUGGUUCCUUAUCAAGUCGAAUCCAAUUUAAUUCUCAAUAGUUGCACCAGAAUCUCAUGUGACGAAUCUGCCACCUAGUGACAACGUAUCGAACCCAAAAUAUAUUAAGUACCUUAGCCAACUCUGAAGACAUCACCACUUGUAUGCACUUUAUUGAUUCCUUUAGUGAUAAAAAAUGGUCUGAUGUGACUAAGUCUUAUCUUGUCUUCCUUUCUGAAUCUUACUAUUUCUCUUCAUGGUGAAAUUUCCAAAAAUAUCAAACCAUUUACCUUACACACUCGAUUAGUGGCAUAUCCAUCUGUUAGUCUCUUUUGCCAUUCCUGGUUACUUCAGGUUAACUUAAUCACAUGAAUACUUUGAGGAGACUCAUCCAUAGUCUCAGGGUCUACUAAAACUCUUUCUUGAUCGAAUCUUUCUCUAUUCAGAAGCAUUUCAUUCACACGACACGCUUCAGGGACCCUAUGGCGUUACUUCGGAAACCGCACAACCAACAUACUUAAGAAACUCAGCAGUUCCGUAAACCAAUUCUUCUUUCCAUAAAACAAAUAAGUACCGUUACUCUGUCUGGGAAAAAGUUAUUACUCAGCACUGGAGUAAUUGUACUAACUUGGUACAUUGACCAACUAUCACUUCAACUUCGAUCAUAACCAUCCUAUGUACAAGGAAACUUGUACACAUAAUCCAAAGUAAUAUCUUUCCAUUUCCACUGCGAAACAGAAAAUAGUUAUCUCAAUCCAAAGGUUUAUCUCUUUCUGCCUCGAUCUGCUGACCAAAUAAAACUGUCGAAUGGUAUGAUAAACCUUAUUACUUUCGGAAUAUUGCAGAAGCUGAACAGUGUACUUCGUCCAAAAUUACUUACUUUAAAUCCUUAGCAUUAGGCACAUACUUUUUGUUUUCUUGUAUCCACAUACCAUUUGAUUCACGAAUCAUGUACUCAUUCUUUUUCCUUUCUUUCUCUGCCUUGGUUAAUUCUUAAAUUUCUUCGUUAACCAUUUGAGUCUCGAGUACGGCCUUACCAAACAGGCCUAACUUGAAAAUUAACAAGUAUAACUUCUUCUCGAUCUUCCAUUCUUAAUUUUUUCUUCCGUUGGUUUUCAAUCCACAAGAUGAUACUCUUGGCAACGUGCCAGACAUUAAUCUUACUGCAAUAUUUUCACCAAGUGUAUUAGCUAGAACAAUUUUACGAUCACCCUGGUCGUACAAUCAUAUACAUUAAACAAUUCAAUUUACCUUCGCUACCUCAGAUCAAAAUCCUUCCGAGUAAUGGAUAUUGAAGACUUUUUGGAUUCGUAAAAAUCUUGCAUUCUUACCAAAUAUAAUGCCUUCAUAACUUCACAGCAAGAAUGGUAAUCAUGACUUCCAAGUCACUCGUAGGGUAAUUCAUCUCAUGAGGUUCCAUUUAUCGUGAAAUGUAUGCAAUCACCCUAACAUUUGCAUCAGCAUGCCUCCAAUACCAUUCAAGAAACAUCACUAAAAAUUUAUGAUUACCACUAUUCUUUGGGAAUACCAAAAUACGUGCAUGAGUGAGGAAAUACUUCAGUUGUUGAAUCCUUUGCUCACAAUUUCCUUCCCACUCAUACAUAACCUCUUUUCUCAACAGUCUCGUCAAUGACAAAGCAAUGACUAAAAAAUCUUUCACAACCAUCCAAAAUAGCCUGGUAAGUUAAGAAAUUCCGAAUCUCAAUUACAGCUCGUGGUUGUUCCAAUUCCUCAAUUUCUGCUAUCUUUUAAGGAUUCACUUGAAUACCUUAAGAAUAUAUAACAAAUCUCAGAAUGCCACCUGAUUCAUCUAACUUUAGCAUUUGCUACUUAGCAUACAACCGACGUUCUCUCAAUCUUUGCUUCACCAACUUAAUAUGUUUACAUGCUCUGCUCUGGCUCAGAAUAUGCCAGAAUAUCUUCAAUGAAAAUGAUAUCAAUUUAUCAAGGCAUUAUUGGAAUACUUCAUCCAUCAACUCAUAAAACAGCAUGAGUAUCCAUAUAGCAUCACCAAACUUCAUAAAGACUAUAACGAGUCCAGAAAACCAUCUUAUGAUCAACGUCACUUAUAAUAUUCAAUUGGUAGUAACCAGAUCUCAAUUCAAUCUUUGAAUCUUCGCAAUUACUUCUGAGCUGGUUAAAUAAACAUCAGUACAUUACCAUGGAUAACGGUUCUCAAUCGUUACCCGACUCCAUUGUCUAUAAUCAAUGAACAGUCUCAAGAUCCAUUUUCUUCCUCACCAACAAACUGGGCUCCUCAAAAGUGUUGUACUCGGUUGAAUAAAACUUUUAUCAACCAAUUCUUUAACAUAAAUUUAUACCUGGCAACAAUUCAAUAGUGAACCUCAUAUCUCUGCCUGAAGGCAAUCCAGGUAUACUUUCAAGGAAGACAUCAAGAAAAGUCUAACCCUUUUGACAUUAUUCACACUACUCCGAGCAACAUCAUUUAGCAUCACAUAAACUAAGUAUUUUUGGGCAGCCUUUCAAAACAAUCUCUUUGCUUUCACAGCAUAAAUAAUGGCUGAACUCACUUCACUUUGCAUGCCCACUCAUUAAGGUAACCUCUGAUCAUCCAGAUCGAUGGAAAGUGACUGGUUUCCCGUAACAAUCCAUCUAGUCACGAUUAUAAUCAACCAAUCUAAUGGAACAGAAUUAACUGAUACAAUAUAUAUUCUAUUAUUAUUAAGUAUUCUAAAUAAGUACAAUACUAACAUAAAAUAAUCUACCGGGUUGCUUGCUUAACGAAUCCACGAAUGAGUUAUUAAUAUUACGGUCUGCAGCCCGCAAUACUGAUAAAUCAUCGUUGUCUCGAUAAGUAGGCAACCACUCUCAAAGAUAUAAUAAUACUAUUUUGCCACUCAAUGCAAAAUACAUACACUCGUCUCAACCGCAUUUAUUUACUACUUUCUAGGCAAUAUCAAUCAUAAUAAUAAAAAUAUAUAUAUAUCAGCCGGAGUCAACUAAAAUGACCAAUACGGCUGAUUCAACUCUCAUCUCAAUAAUACGUCGGCCGGAUCCACUCCGCGUGGUCGGUACGGCCGAGCCUAUAACUCACCAAUUUCUCAUGCGUCAGCCAGAUCCACCUCUCAUGGUCUGUACGGCUGAACAUAUAACUCAUCAAAUCUCUCUGUACCCACGGUCAAUCCGACCAAACUACUAAGUUCAUAAACUUGCUGAAUCGACACUACGAUGUCAUAGAAAACUGUUGGGUACAACUGAUUCUAGGGACGAUUCACAAUUCUGUGUCCCCUCUGUUCACAUAAACACAUUCAUUUCUUAUUCUUCUUUAUUCUCGUUGCUCAUGUUCUCAGAGUCCUCAAGACUCAACAGCAUCUCGUAUAUUCCUGGUAAAAAGUACAAUGGAUAGUGGUCACCCAAAAUACCACUUCCCUUUUUCCACCCAGCUUAAAACAACAUAACACCUCAACCAAAUUAACAGUAAUAUCUGGAUGGAAACGAGGCAAGUCUGAAAACUUUCUAUAAUAUUCAUUUAUCGUCAACUUCCUUGAUUCACAUUUGCAAACUCUUGUUUACUACCAUCGAUAAAUGCCGGAGGGAUAAACUUUUCCUUAAACAAGUCCUUAAACAAUUUUAAAUCGGCUGAUUCCUCUGGUGACAACAAUUAACAAUCCUGUUUCCACCAGGAUACAAAUUCAUACCCAAAACCAGGUAGUCAUCUCGACCCCUUGUCAGAAGGAAAAUUCCUUUGACUUGCAUAAUCCGAAACAUCUUUUCCAAAUGGUUAAACCGUUACUUCGCUCCCUCAGGUUCAUCAUUUCUCUUAAGUGAUUCAAAUUCAACUCAUAACCCAUCUUAAAAUGUCCCUUUAGACAAUAGACUGAAUCACCAUAGUAAUAGUUUCCCCCUAAACCGCUAAAUCAGGGAGACUAAAUUCCUCUAACUACGUGGUUUGCUACGAGGCGGUGUAGUUCUGACAGAAUUCACUAGAAACUUCUCAAGAUGUCCAAGAUUGCAACCAUGCUCUGAUACCAACUGACACACCCCGUCCCGAAGGAGGGCAUGCUGGCCGUCACGUGAGAGUGACGUAACCAUUUGCACAGUACGGAAGCUUUAAAGAUACAAUUUAUAAUUUGAUACACCCGAAGGUGAGUCCUAAUUUUGUCCAAUCUGUCAGAACACCGUCGAAUUCCUCGUAGUCACCACACCUUUGUGAUUCCUGAACCUGGAGGGGCGCAAAACCAAAAUUGAGUGGGUCAGUAAAACAAUUCUUUUCCAAAUCCAAACAUUCCUCAAAACGUUGUAAACCCCUCUCCGUAAAACCUGUAUACUUUCCCAGAAAUGUAAAAUAUAAAUAUAUACAUAUAUAUUCUCAAACUUCAUUUUUUACUAUCUCAACAUUUUUCUUUAUCAAUCAUGCCAUGCCAUGUCUAAUUCAACAGUUAAGUAUGGAUGCAUCAACAAUAAUCAUAUCAGGUGCAAGAAAGUAAUCAACCGGAGGCCCUCUAAUAGCCCUGCACGGUUGAACCUAGAGCUCAAAAUCUAUCACUCUCACACUCUGCCGGAGUCACUCCGCGUGACCUGUCCGGCCUUCUGCACAUAAGCUACGCUCUAGUGCUUCUCAUAAAUCAUCUGUGCACAUAAUCUAAGGUCACCCACCAGUCGGAAUCUCACUAACACUCUCGCGACUGGCCUGUCGUACCCACUCCGCGUGGACUGUACGACUAGUAUCUACUUGGAUCCAAGACGAGCGUGCGAUGCGGUGAAUACUAAAAGCACUAAACUAUGGUGCAGGAUUUGAGCUCAAUAUACAUCAGCAUCAUCAUAACAGUAAUUAAAUACUCACC
rnacentral:lncRNA from 1 species